rnacentral:rRNA from 1 species
CAGACUCCUACGGGAGGCAGCAGUGGGGAAUUUUGGACAAUGGGGGCAACCCUGAUCCAGCCAUCCCGCGUGUUCGAUGAAGGCCUUCGGGUUGUAAAGCACUUUUGGCAGGGAAGAAACAGCCUGGGAUAAUACCCUGGGCGACUGACGGUACCUGCAGAAUAAGCACCGGCUAACUACGUGCCAGCAGCCUCGGUAAUACGUAGGGUGCAAGCGUUAAUCGGAAUUACUGGGCGUAAAGCGUGCGCAGGCGGUUCGGAAAGAAAGGUGUGAAAUCCCAGGGCUUAACCUUGGAACUGCACUUUUAACUACCGAGCUAGAGUACGUCAGAGGGGGGUAGAAUUCCACGUGUAGCAGUGAAAUGCGUA